rnacentral:rRNA from 1 species
GAUGAACGCUGGCGGCGUGCCUAAUACAUGCAAGUCGAGCGAACGGACGAGAAGCUUGCUUCUCUGAUGUUAGCGGCGGACGGGUGAGUAACACGUGGAUAACCUACCUAUAAGACUGGGAUAACUUCGGGAAACCGGAGCUAAUACCGGAUAAUAUUUUGAACCGCAUGGUUCAAAAGUGAAAGACGGUCUUGCUGUCACUUAUAGAUGGAUCCGCGCUGCAUUAGCUAGUUGGUAAGGUAACGGCUUACCAAGGCAACGAUGCAUAGCCGACCUGAGAGGGUGAUCGGCCACACUGGAACUGAGACACGGUCCAGACUCCUACGGGAGGCAGCAGUAGGGAAUCUUCCGCAAUGGGCGAAAGCCUGACGGAGCAACGCCGCGUGAGUGAUGAAGGUCUUCGGAUCGUAAAACUCUUGUUAUUAGGGAAGAAUAUAUGUGUUAGUAACUGUGCAUAUCUUGACGGUACCCAAUCCGAAAGCCACCGGCUAACUAACGGCCUGUCAGCCGCGGGUAAUACCUACGUGGCCAACCGUUAUCCGGAAUUUUUGGGUCUUAAACCGCGCGUAGGCGGUUUUUUAAGUUCUGAUGUGAAAGCCCACGGCUCAACCGUGGAGGGUCAUUGGAAACUGGAAAACUUGAGUGCAGAAGAGGAAAGUGGAAUUCCAUGUGUAGCGGUGAAAUGCGCAGAGAUAUGGAGGAACACCAGUGGCGAAGGCGACUUUCUGGUCUGUAACUGACGCUGAUGUGCGAAAGCGUGGGGAUCAAACAGGAUUAGAUACCCUGGUAGUCCACGCCGUAAACGAUGAGUGCUAAGUGUUAGGGGGUUUCCGCCCCUUAGUGCUGCAGCUAACGCAUUAAGCACUCCGCCUGGGGAGUACGACCGCAAGGUUGAAACUCAAAGGAAUUGACGGGGACCCGCACAAGCGGUGGAGCAUGUGGUUUAAUUCGAAGCAACGCGAAGAACCUUACCAAAUCUUGACAUCCUUUGACAACUCUAGAGAUAGAGCCUUCCCCUUCGGGGGACAAAGUGACAGGUGGUGCAUGGUUGUCGUCAGCUCGUGUCGUGAGAUGUUGGGUUAAGUCCCGCAACGAGCGCAACCCUUAAGCUUAGUUGCCAUCAUUAAGUUGGGCACUCUAAGUUGACUGCCGGUGACAAACCGGAGGAAGGUGGGGAUGACGUCAAAUCAUCAUGCCCCUUAUGAUUUGGGCUACACACGUGCUACAAUGGACAAUACAAAGGGCAGCGAAACCGCGAGGUCAAGCAAAUCCCAUAAAGUUGUUCUCAGUUCGGAUUGUAGUCUGCAACUCGACUACAUGAAGCUGGAAUCGCUAGUAAUCGUAGAUCAGCAUGCUACGGAAAAUACGUUCCCGGGUCU